rnacentral:misc_RNA from 1 species
CUUAGGCACAUAUGCAUCCUUUACCCUCAGCUGAUGAUACCCUAACUUGAGAUCAAUCUUAGAAAAUAUACCUGCUCCCUUCAAUUGAUCAAACAUAUCAUUAAUUUUGGGUAAUGGGUACUUAUUCUUCACAGUUACUUUAUUUAACUGUCGGUAAUCUAUAUACAGUCUCAAGGUCCCAUCCUUCUUCUUCACAAAUAGC